UACGGAGGGUGCAAGCGUUAUCCGGAUUCACUGGGUUUAAAGGGUGCGUAGGUGGAUUAGUAAGUCUGUGGUGAAAUCUCUGAGCUUAACUCGGAAACUGCCAUGGAUACUAUUAGUCUUGAAUCUCCUGGAGGUAAGCGGAAUAUGUCAUGUAGCGGUGAAAUGCUUAGAUAUGACAUAGAACACCAAUUGCGAAGGCAGCUUACUACGGGAGCAUUGACACUGAGGCACGAAAGCGUGGGGAUCAAACAGG
rnacentral:rRNA from 1 species